rnacentral:rRNA from 1 species
CCUACGGGAGGCAGCAGUGGGGAAUAUUGGGCAAUGGGCGCAAGCCUGACCCAGCAACGCCGCGUGAAGGAAGAAGGCUUUCGGGUUGUAAACUUCUUUUAUCAGGGACGAAGCAAGUGACGGUACCUGAUGAAUAAGCCACGGCUAACUACGUGCCAGCAGCCGCGGUAAUACGUAGGUGGCAAGCGUUAUCCGGAUUUACUGGGUGUAAAGGGCGUGUAGGCGGGAGGGCAAGUCAGAUGUGAAAACUAUGGGCUCAAACCAUAGCCUGAAUUUGAAACUGGACUUCUUGAGUGCAGGAGAGG